ensembl:lncRNA
GAUACGGUUGGAUUUGUACCUCCCAAAUGGCACCCUAUUCCCUAUGUAAUGCACUACUUUUGACCAGGGCCUGGUCCAAAGUAAAGGUACUAUGUGGGGAAUAUUUGGGAGGCAGCCAAGCCACAUUCAGUACACUGUACUACUGUGGUGAAGGCUGUAUAGUGGAGGUAGUCUACCUUUCUCUCUGACCUUCACUAUCUCUUCAAGGUUAGGCCAUAAAUUAGACUCUAUAAAGAUCUCUUCAAGGAUAGGCCAUAAAUUAGACUCUAUAAAUAUCUCUACAAGGUUCGGCCAUAAAUUAGACUCUAUAAAGAUCUCUUCAAGGAUAGGCCAUAAAUUAGACUCUAUAAAGAUCUCUUCAAGGUUUGGCCAUAAAUUAGACUCUAUAAAGAUUUCUUCAAGGUUCGGCCAUAAAUUAGACUCUAUAAAGAUCUCUUCAAGGUCCGGCCCUAUAAAGAUCUCUUCAAGGUUCGGCCAUAAAUUAGACUCUAUAAAGAUCUCUUCAAGGUCCGGCCAUAUAAAGAUUUCUUCAAGGUUCUGCCAUAAAUUAGACUCUAUAAAGAUUUAUUCAAGGUCCUGCCAUAAAUUAGACUCUAUAAAGAUUUAUUCAAGGUUCUGCCAUAAAUUAGACUCUAUAAAGAUUUAUUCAAGGUCCUGCCAUAAAUUAGACUCUAUAAAUAUCUCUUCAAGGUUCGGCCUUAUAAAGAUCUCUUCAAGGUUCGGCCAUAUAAAGAUUUCUUCAAGGUUCGGCCCUAUAAAGAUCUCUUCAAGGUUCGGCCCUAUAAAGAUCUCUUCAAGGUUCGGCCAUAAAUUAGACUCUAUAAAGAUUUCUUCAAGGUUCGGCCCUAUAAAGAUCUCUUCAAGGUUCGGCCCUAUAAAGAUCUCUUCAAGGUUCGGCCAUAAAUUAGACUCUAUAAAGAUUUAUUCAAGGUCCUGCCAUAAAUUAGACUCUAUAAAGAUCUCUUCAAGGUUUGGCCUUAUAAAGAUCUCUUCAAGGUUCGGCCAUAUAAAGAUUUCUUCAAGGUUCGGCCCUAUAAAGAUCUCUUCAAGGUUCGGCCCUAUAAAGAUCUCUUCAAGGUUCGGCCCUAUAAAGAUCUCUUCAUGGUUCGGCCAUAAAUUAGACUCUAUAAAGAUCUCUUCAAGGUUCGGCCAUAUAAAGAUCUCUUCAAGGUUUGGCCAUAAAUUAGACUCUAUAAAGAUCUCUUCAAGGUUCGGCCAUAUAAAGAUCUCUUCAAGGUUUGGCCAUAAAUUAGACUCUAUAAAGAUCUCUUCAAGGUCCGGCCCUAUAAAGAUCUCUUCAAGGUUCGGCCAUAAAUUAGACUCUAUAAAGAUCUCUUCAAGGUUUGGCCAUAUAAAGAUCUCUUCAAGGUUUGGCCAUAAAUUAGACUCUAUAAAGAUCUCUUCAAGGUUCGGCCCUAUAAAGAUCUCUUCAAGGUUCGGCCUUAUAAAGAUCUCUUCAAGGUUCGGCCAUAUAAAGAUCUCUUCAAGGUUCGGCCCUAUAAAGAUCUCUUCAAGGUUCGGCCAUAUAAAGAUCUCUUCAAGGUUCGGCCAUAUAAAGAUCUCUUCAAGGUUCGGCCCUAUAAAGAUCUCUUCAAGGUUCGGCCAUAUAAAAGGACAAACAGACUGGAGCACCGGGCUACUUCCUGGUUCCAAUCAUUCCAACGUUAGUGUGUGA